UUUUUUUCUCAUUCCUCUUCUUCUUCUUCUUAUAUAUUACCUAUCUUUUUUGCAAUAGAACUCCAAAAUGACCAAAAUGUAACAUUCAAGAAAUACUUUUGUAGGAACUCUAUGCUGGAUGGCUCCAGAGGUUUUAUAGCCAAGAAGUGGAUUUGAUUUCAAGUGAGUGUUGCUCCAUACAGAGAACCUUGAGCUUAUACUUCAUUGUUGUAAAUGUGUCUUGGAGUUUUUUAGUGCAUGCUAGGUACUGUUAGCUUAUUCACAGGGUGUUUUCAUGUGGAGGAUGGACUCUGGGAAGUUUAACAGUAGUAGUCUUCUGCAUAUGCUUUAAGAGAACAUCUAUGAUCUAGUUUUUGGGUGUAAGUCUCUUCAAAAGUCAUGCCAAUUUUAUAUUUUAUAAUUAAUAUUCUAAUCACAGUUGUAAAUUUUAA